rnacentral:rRNA from 1 species
GAUUUCUGAAUGGGGAAACCCACUUAGCAUAAGCUAGGUAUUGCAUGAUGAAUACAUAGUCAUGCAAGGCGAACGAGGGGAAGUGAAACAUCUCAGUACCCUUAGGAAAAGAAAUCAAUUGAGAUUCCCUUAGUAGCGGCGAGCGAACGGGGAAAAGCCCAUUAAGUCAUAUAAGUUCUAGUGGAAUGCUCUGGGAAGUGCAACCGUAGUGGGUGAUAGUCCUGUACACGAAAGGGCUUAUAUGAUGAUGUCGAGUAGGGCGAGGCACGUG